rnacentral:rRNA from 1 species
GACGUAGGGCGCGAGCGUUGUCCGGAUUUAUUGGGCGUAAAGAGCUCGUAGGCGGCCAACUAAGUCAGACGUGAAAUCCCUCAGCUUAACUGGGGAACUGCGUCUGAUACUGGAUGGCUUGGAUUCGGGAGAGGAAUGCGGAAUUCCAGGUGUAGCGGUGAAAUGCGCAGAUAUCAGGAGGAACACCGGUGGCGAAGGCGGUUCUCUGGGCCUUACCUGACGCUGGAGGAGCGAAAGCGUGGGGAGCGAACAGG